rnacentral:rRNA from 1 species
AUUGAACGCUGGCGGCAUGCCUUACACAUGCAAGUCGAACGGCAGCACGGGUGCUUGCACCUGUGGCGGGUGGCGAACGGGUGAGUAAUGCAUCGGAACGUACCUUAUCGUGGGGGAUAACGCAGCGAAAGCUGUGCUAUACCGCAUACGCCCUGAGGGGGAAAGCGGGGGAUCGCAAGACCUCGCGCGAUUAGAGCGGCCGAUGCCUGAUUAGCUUGUUGGUGGGGUAAAAGCCCACCAAGGCGACGAUCAGUAGCUGGUCUGAGAGGACGAUCGGCCACACUGGGACUGAGACACGGCCCAGACUCCUACGGGAGGCAGCAGUGGGGAAUUUUGGACAAUGGGGGCAACCCUGAUCCAGCAAUGCCGCGUGAGUGAAGAAGGCCUUCGGGUUGUAAAGCUCUUUUGUCAGGGAAGAAACACCGGCUCUAACACAGUCCGGGAAUGACGGUACCUGAAGAAUAAGCACCGGCUAACUACGUGCCAGCCGCCGCCGUAA